AGUCGAACGGUGAUGGAGAGCUUGCUCUCCGGAUCAGUGGCGAACGGGUGAGUAACACGUGAGUAACCUGCCCCUGACUCUGGGAUAAGCGUUGGAAACGACGUCUAAUACCGGAUAUGACUUACGGACGCAUGUUCUGUGGGUGGAAAGAUUUUUCGGUUGGGGAUGGACUCGCGGCCUAUCAGCUUGUUGGUGAGGUAAUGGCUCACCAAGGCGACGACGGGUAGCCGGCCUGAGAGGGUGACCGGCCACACUGGGACUGAGACACGGCCCAGACUCCUACGGGAGGCAGCAGUGGGGAAUAUUGCACAAUGGGCGCAAGCCUGAUGCAGCAACGCCGCGUGAGGGACGACGGCCUUCGGGUUGUAAACCUCUUUUGGCAGGGAAGAAGCGAAAGUGACGGUACCUGCAGAAAAAGCACCGGCUAACUACGUGCCAGCAGCCGCGGUAAUACGUAGGGUGCAAGCGUUGUCCGGAAUUAUUGGGCGUAAAGAGCUCGUAGGCGGUUUGUCGCGUCUGCUGUGAAAACGCGAGGCUCAACCUCGCGCCUGCAGUGGGUACGGGCAGACUAGAGUGCGGUAGGGGAGAUUGGAAUUCCUGGUGUAGCGGUGGAAUGCGCAGAUAUCAGGAGGAACACCGAUGGCGAAGGCAGAUCUCUGGGCCGUUACUGACGCUGAGGAGCGAAAGCGUGGGGAGCGAACAGGAUUAGAUACCCUGGUAGUCCACGCCGUAAACGUUGGGAACUAGAUGUGGGGUCCAUUCCACGGAUUCCGUGUCGCAGCUAACGCAUUAAGUUCCCCGCCUGGGGAGUACGGCCGCAAGGCUAAAACUCAAAGGAAUUGAC
rnacentral:rRNA from 1 species